rnacentral:rRNA from 1 species
AGCUCCAAUAGCGUAUAUUAAAGUUGCUGCAGUUAAAAAGCUCGUAGUUGCAUUUCCGAGGCAAGGGAUUAGUCCGACCUUUGGUGGGAAUUUAAUCCUCUUGCCUCGUCCUUGAGUGGUGCUUCUUGGUAUUAAGUUAUCGAGGAGAUAGCCGCUCAUCGUUUACUGUGAGAAAAUUAGAGUGUUCAAAGCAGGCUUAUGCCGUUGAAUAUAUUAGCAUGGAAUAAUAAGAUAGGACCUCGGUACUAUUUUGGUGGUUUGAGAACCAAGGUAAUGAUGAAUAGGGACAGUUGGGGGUAUUCGUAUUCAGUUGUCAGAGGUGAAAUUCUUAGAUUUACGGAAGACGAACUACUGCGAAAGCAUUUACCAAGGAUGUUUUCA